rnacentral:rRNA from 1 species
UACGAAGGGGGCUAGCGUUGUUCGGAAUUACUGGGCGUAAAGCGCGCGCAGGCGGUUUCUCAAGUCAGUGGUGAGAGCCCGGAGCUCAACUCCGGAACUGCCAUUGAAACUGUGAAACUUGAGGACGAGAGAGGUGAGUGGAAUUCCCAGUGUAGAGGUGAAAUUCGUAGAUAUUGGGAAGAACACCGGUGGCGAAGGCGGCUCACUGGCUCGUUUCUGACGCUCAGGCGCGACAGCGUGGGGAUCAAACAGG